UGUCAGAUAGCUCAGUUGGUAGAGCACCUGACUAGAGAUUCAGGGUUCGAAUCCCGGUCUGGUCU
rnacentral:tRNA from 1 species